GAUUUUUUAACCAUCUGUGACUCAUAUGUGAACAGGUCAGUUCUGAUUGGUUCUAAUCUGACCCAGGCCUCUUCUGUAUGUGGAUAUAAAUCAGAUAUGUAUCUGAUGUGACUGCAGUGUGACGCUCAGGUCGCCUUCAUCCGACCUUUACGUCAUCAAUAUGAGACAAACGUCACCAUUGUUCAACAACACAAACAGGCGC